rnacentral:rRNA from 1 species
UGGNGAACCUGCCCUCUCGUCGGUGGGAUAACCCCGGGAACCGGAACGGCGUAAAUACCGNGUAC